rnacentral:misc_RNA from 1 species
GCGAACACCGUCACGGUGCUGGACCCUCCUCCCUCACUCAGUCGACCCUUCACCCCUUCCCACCUAUCCACAGCGGUCCCUCUAUAUCCGGCACCGCUCCUCCGCCACCCGGCUGGCCGCUGAAGGCACACUGCAGAUAUCUCUCGUUGAGCCUGUGUGGGAGUGUGUGUAUCCUACCGUGCCUAUUGCGCAGACACCGCUGCGUAGCAGGCACCCGCCCUCCCCCAAGCACACACACUCGACGAACCAGUCGCUUGGAAGUGCACAGACUGCGGUGCCACAGAGGAGGAGAGAGGGGGUGGGCCCGCCAAUGCUCCGGCCCCGCUUUCGACACUGUUUUGCGGGUCGUGCACCGAAGCUUCUGUCGGUGACUGCGUGGGCCGAGCGAAGGCAUGUGUCGACUCGACAAGCCGAGCGCCUAGGACGGGCGUCGUCAUUGCCAACGGUGAGCGGCACCGCCACCUCUCACGCAUCACCUAGCGGUAUACGCGGAGACAGCCGCGUUGCGAGAGGUUUCGCACAGCGGGCAACGAAGCUGUCGUCCCCGUCGGCUGGUGCCUCUGCGACAUCCGCUACGGCGCAGUCGGCGGCCUCUUCCGGACGUGCAAAACCGCUACCGGGCCGCUUUAAUCGUCUCUUGGUGCAGCUGGGCGUCUUAGUCACCGUCUACCACUACAUACUGGGGGAGAGCAUCAACCUUUUCCUGACGUACCUUCUCCACUCGCACCGCUUAGGGAUCGGCGACACGGGCAGCUGGCUUGGCGCUGUCGGCGUUCCGGUGGACCGAUUUCUGAACAUUGGCCCGACAGUGUACGGACUGCAGCUGUCGCCGCGACUGGUGCUGAAUUAUCUUGUGGUGAAUGCCUGUAUGUACCCAUCGAUACCGCUCCAGAUGCGCUUGUGUAUUGCGACAGCACCGAUUUUGCGCGUCCCAUUUCAGGUGAUGGGACGGCUGCUGGGGGUGUCGAAGAGGGCAACUGUGCCGAAGGCGCCGUCGGGAACACCAUGUUGAUUUGGGGUUCGAGCCAUGGGGGGAGUGAUGCCAUGUGGGUGAGGUUUUUGCCAGCGGUGCGCUGCGUAUGCGAGGCGCUUCCGUCUCCAUGUUUGUACCGGAUCGUCGUUUUUUAUUUAGGUCAGUGUCCAUGUACACUCUGUGCCUGUGUGCUCACUGUUCUUCUUUCGAUGCGCAGGUCACGCUG